AGUCCAUUAAUGGACUACAUUUGACAAUAUUAACAAACAUUUGUGUUUAGGAAUAUGGAUAACACGUCUAGGAUAAAGUAGAUUAAACGGAUUCGAAGGAAUAGUUUAUAUAACGAGUGAAGGCGAACACACCUUCCGUUUUAACCACGUAUUCCUGUUGCUUUUGGUCGUAAUUAUCUGAAGCGCUUCUGGAGAGGCGGUGAAUGAGGGGGCGGGAGAGAUAAGGAAGAGCCAGAGAGUGAGAGACGAAUGGUCCGUUGUUCGCCCACACAUCUUCAGUAGUGAUCUCUAUCUCUGGCUCGGUGAAGUAUUCAGAUGCCACACAUCUCCCCUUCUCUGGCCCUGAGACAGAAAGAACGAGAAAGAGCAAGAGAGAGAGAGAGAGAGAGAGAGAGAAGAGGACACAAGAGAGAGA